GAUGAACGCUGGCGGCGUGCCUAAUACAUGCAAGUCGAGCGAACAGACGAGGAGCUUGCUCCUCUGACGUUAGCGGCGGACGGGUGAGUAACACGUGGAUAACCUACCUAUAAGACUGGGAUAACUUCGGGAAACCGGGGCUAAUACCGGAUAAUAUAUUGAACCGCAUGGUUCAAUAGUGAAAGACGGUUUCGCUGUCACUUAUAGAUGGUUCCGCGCCGCAUUAGCUAGUUGGUAAGGUAACGGCUUACCAAGGCAACGAUGCGUAGCCGACCUGAGAGGGUGAUCGGCCACACUGGAACUGAGACACGGUCCAGACUCCUACGGGAGGCAGCAGUAGGGAAUCUUCCGAAAAGGGCGAAAGCCUGACGGAGCAACGCCGCGGGAGUGAUGAAGGUCUUCGGAUCGUAAAACUCUGUUAUUAGGGAAGAACAAAUGUGUAAGUAACUAUGCACGUCUUGACGGUACCUAAUCAGAAAGCCACGGCUAACUACGUG
rnacentral:rRNA from 1 species